rnacentral:tRNA from 1 species
GCCUGGCUGGCUCAGUUAGUAGAGCAUGUGACUCUUGAUCUCAGGGUUGUGAGUUCAAACUUAUGUUGGGUA